rnacentral:rRNA from 1 species
AUACGUAGGUGGCAAGCGUUAUCCGGAUUUAUUGGGCGUAAAGCGAGCGCAGGCGGUUUGCUUAGGUCUGAUGUGAAAGCCUUCGGCUUAACCGAAGAAGUGCAUCGGAAACCGGGCGACUUGAGUGCAGAAGAGGACAGUGGAACUCCAUGUGUAGCGGUGGAAUGCGUAGAUAUAUGGAAGAACACCAGUGGCGAAGGCGGCUGUCUGGUCUGCAACUGACGCUGAGGCUCGAAAGCAUGGGUAGC